AAUAUUGCGCAAUGGAGGAAACUCUGACGCAGCGACGCCGCGUGAGCGAUGAAGGUCUUCGGAUCGUAAAGCUCUGUCCUCAGGGAAGAAGAAAGUGACGGUACCUGAGGAGGAAGCCCCGGCUAACUACGUGCCAGCAGCCGCGGUAAUACGUAGGGGGCAAGCGUUGUCCGGAAUUAUUGGGCGUAAAGGGUGCGUAGGCGGCUAUAUAAGUCAGGUGUGAAAUACCAGUGCUUAACACUGGAAUUGCAUUUGAAACUGUGUAGCUUGAGUGCAGGAGAGGAAAGUGGAAUUCCUAGUGUAGCGGUGAAAUGCGUAGAGAUUAGGAGGAACACCAGUGGCGAAGGCGACUUUCUGGACUGUAACUGACGCUGAGGUACGAAAGCGUGGGGAGCAAAC
rnacentral:rRNA from 1 species